UAGAAGAUAACUGAAGAAAAUUGCAUGUAAUAAGAUAGCUGCAAAUGAAUGUACAAGUCCUUCAGCAGUUAUUAAAAAUACUUCAUUGCCUCAGGUAUGGCAUGGCAAUGUAGAAGGAACAAUGAAGACAGUGGUCAAGAAAACAUGAACAGAAGCAAAUGAUGAAAAUAUUUGAUGUUGAAAAAUUCACAAGUUAUGUAGAAAAAUAGACGACUAAUUAUAACUGAAUAAUAAAUUGUUUUAUUUAAAAUAUAGCCUACUGAAAACAUGUGUUCUUAAUUUUUAGUCAGACCUAUUUUCAACCUACCUUAAUGACACUUGUCAAACAUUAGCUCAUUUAUGGGUAGUGAUUCUUACUGAAGUGGACAGUUGGAGUCAUUUCUAGUAUCUUUUUAGGUUUGGGGGAGUUUCUUGUCCUAAUAAUUGCACUCCUUGCUUUUGUACAUAAAAAAAUGGCUGAUGGGAAUUUCCUGAAGUCUUUGUUUUUUAUGUAUUUAGGACAAGGUUUA